CCUACGGGAGGCAGCAGUGAGGAAUAUUGGUCAAUGGACGAGAGUCUGAACCAGCCAAGUAGCGUGAAGGAUGACUGCCCUAUGGGUUGUAAACUUCUUUUAUAUGGGAAUAAAACGUUCCACGUGUGGGAUUUUGUAUGUACCAUAUGAAUAAGGAUCGGCUAACUCCGUGCCAGCAGCCGCGGUAAUACGGAGGAUCCGAGCGUUAUCCGGAUUUAUUGGGUUUAAAGGGAGCGUAGGUGGAUUGUUAAGUCAGUUGUGAAAGUUUGCGGCUCAACCGUAAAAUUGCAGUUGAAACUGGCAGUCUUGAGUACAGUAGAGGUGGGCGGAAUUCGUGGUGUAGCGGUGAAAUGCUUAGAUAUCACCAAGAACUCCGAUUGCGAAGGCAGUUCACUGGACUGCAACUGACACUGAGGCUCGAAAGUGUGGGUAUCAAACAGGAUUAGAUACCCUAGUAGUC
rnacentral:rRNA from 1 species